rnacentral:rRNA from 1 species
GAAACCAACAGGGAUUGCCUUAGUAGCGGCGAGUGAAGCGGCAAAAGCUCAAAUUUGAAAUCUGGCACUUUCAGUGUCCGAGUUGUAAUUUGAAGAAGGUAUCUUUGGGUCUGGCUCUUGUCUAUGUUUCUUGGAACAGAACGUCACAGAGGGUGAGAAUCCCGUGCGAUGAGAUGUCCCAGACCUAUGUAAAGUUCCUUCGAAGAGUCGAGUUGUUUGGGAAUGCAGCUCUAAGUGGGUGGUAAAUUCCAUCUAAAGCUAAAUAUUGGCGAGAGACCGAUAGCGAACAAGUACAGUGAUGGAAAGAUGAAAAGAACUUUGAAAAGAGAGUGAAAAAGUACGUGAAAUUGUUGAAAGGGAAGGGCUUGAGAUCAGACUUGGUAUUUUGUAUGUUACUCUCUCGGGGGUGGCCUCUACAGUUUACCGGGCCAGCAUCAGUUUGAGCGGUAGGAUAAGUGCAAAGAAAUGUGGCACUGCUUCGGUAGUGUGUUAUAGUCUUUGUCGAUACUGCCAGCUUAGACUGAGGACUGCGGCUUCGGCCUAGGAUGUUGGCAUAAUGA